rnacentral:rRNA from 1 species
AGAGUUUGAUCCUGGCUCAGGAUGAACGAUAGCGGCAGGCUUAACACAUGCAAGUCGAGGGGUAUAAGUCUUCGGAUUUAGAGACCGGCGCACGGGUGCGUAACGCGUAUGCAAUCUACCUUUCACAGAGGGAUAGCCCAGAGAAAUUUGGAUUAAUACCUCAUAGUAUAGCUGAACCGCAUGGUUCUACUAUUAAAGUCACAACGGUGAAAGAUGAGCAUGCGUCCCAUUAGCUUGUUGGUAAGGUAACGGCUUACCAAGGCUACGAUGGGUAGGGGUCCUGAGAGGGAGAUCCCCCACACUGGUACUGAGACACGGACCAGGCUCCUACGGGAGGCAGCAGUGAGGAAUAUUGGUCAAUGGACGCAAGUCUGAACCAGCCAUGCCGCGUGCAGGAUGACGGUCCUAUGGAUUGUAAACUGCUUUUGCACAGGAAGAAACAACUCUACGUGUAGAGUCUUGACGGUACUGUGAGAAUAAGGAUCGGCUAACUCCGUGCCAGCAGCCGCGGUAAUACGGAGGGUCCAAGCGUUAUCCGGAAUCAUUGGGUUUAAAGGGUCCGUAGGCGGUUUAGUAAGUCAGUGGUGAAAGCCCAUCGCUCAACGGUGGAACGGCCAUUGAUACUGCUAGACUUGAAUUAUUAGGAAGUAACUAGAAUAUGUAGUGUAGCGGUGAAAUGCUUAGAGAUUACAUGGAAUACCAAUUGCGAAGGCAGGUUACUACUAAUGGAUUGACGCUGAUGGACGAAAGCGUGGGUAGCGAACAGGAUUAGAUACCCUGGUAGUCCACGCCGUAAACGAUGGAUACUAGCUGUUGGAAGCAAUUUCAGUGGCUAAGCGAAAGUGAUAAGUAUCCCACCUGGGGAGUACGUUCGCAAGAAUGAAACUCAAAGGAAUUGACGGGGGCCCGCACAAGCGGUGGAGCAUGUGGUUUAAUUCGAUGAUACGCGAGGGACCUUACCAAGGCUUAAAUGUAGAUUGACCGGUUUGGAAACAGACUUUUCGCAAGACAAUUUACAAGGUGCUGCAUGGUUGUCGUCAGCUCGUGCCGUGAGGUGUCAGGUUAAGUCCUAUAACGAGCGCAACCCCUGUUGUUAGUUGCCAGCGAGUCAUGUCGGGAACUCUAACAAGACUGCCAGUGUAAACUGUGAGGAAGGUGGGGAUGACGUCAAAUCAUCACGGCCCUUACGCCUUGGGCUACACACGUGCUACAAUGGCCGGUACAGAGAGCAGCCACUGGGCGACCAGGAGCGAAUCUACAAAACCGGUCACAGUUCGGAUCGGAGUCUGCAACUCGACUCCGUGAAGCUGGAAUCGCUAGUAAUCGGAUAUCAGCCAUGAUCCGGUGAAUACGUUCCCGGGCCUUGUACACACCGCCCGUCAAGCCAUGGAAGCUGGGGGUGCCUGAAGUCGGUGACCGCAAGGAGCUGCCUAGGGUAAAACUGGUAACUAGGGCUAAGUCGUAACAAGGUA